rnacentral:rRNA from 1 species
UACGUAGGGUGCAAGCGUUGUCCGGAAUUAUGGGGAGUAAAGAGCUCGUAGGCGGUUUGUCACGUCGGAUGUGAAAACCCGAGGCUUAACCUCGGGCCUGCAUUCGAUACGGGCUGACUAGAGUUCGGUAGGGGAGACUGGAAUUCCUGGUGUAGCGGUGAAAUGCGCAGAUAUCAGGAGGAACACCGGUGGCGAAGGCGGGUCUCUGGGCCGAUACUGACGCUGAGGAGCGAAAGCGUGGGGAGCGAACAGG